rnacentral:misc_RNA from 1 species
AAAUGGUCUGGUGUCGCGGUCCUGAAAAAGAUCAUGCCUUUGUGAUUUGAUGAGAGGAUGUAGUUGAAAACAUUACCAAGAACUUUACGGUACGCAAAGUUGAAACCAAGCUCAGUAAAGUUCUUUUUGGGACAGUAGUGACAGCCCAGUACAGUAUCGUUUUCAUAGUAGAUUGCAGUUUUGACAUACCACUCACCACUAGCAAAUAUCAUAUAGUCAAAAUCCUUAAACUGAUCUGUCCAACUAGUAUCAAGUUUGUCGAUAUGAAGUUCAAUCUCA